AACGAACGCUGGCGGCAGGCCUAACACAUGCAAGUCGAACGGGUACCUUCGGGUACUAGUGGCGGACGGGUGAGUAACGCGUGGGAACGUGCCCUUUGGUUCGGAAUAGCCCUGGGAAACUGGGAGUAAUACCGGAUGUGCCCUUCGGGGGAAAGAUUUAUCGCCAAAGGAUCGGCCCGCGUUGGAUUAGGUAGUUGGUGGGGUAAUGGCCUACCAAGCCGACGAUCCAUAGCUGGUUUGAGAGGAUGAUCAGCCACACUGGGACUGAGACACGGCCCAGACUCCUACGGGAGGCAG
rnacentral:rRNA from 1 species